GUAGCAAUACUUUGAUGGCGACCGGCAAACGGAUGCGGAACACGUACACAACCUUCCUUUUAGUGGGGAAUAGCCCAGAGAAAUUUGGAUUAAUACCCCGUAACAUAACGAUGUGGCAUCACAUUGUUAUUAUAGCUUCGGCGCUAGAUGAUGGGUGUGCGUAUGAUUAGAUAGUUGGCGAGGUAACGGCUCACCAAGUCUACGAUCAUUAGCUGAUGUGAGAGCAUGAUCAGCCACACGGGCACUGAGACACGGGCCCGACUCCUACGGGAGGCAGCAGUAAGGAAUAUUGGUCAAUGGACGCAAGUCUGAACCAGCUAUGCCGCGUGAAGGAUUAAGGUCCUCUGGAUUGUAAACUUCUUUUAUCUGGGACGAAAAAAGGUCUUUCUAGAUCACUUGACGGUACCAGAUGAAUAAGCACCGGCUAACUCCGUGCCAGCAGCCGCGGUAAUACGGAGGGUGCAAGCGUUAUCCGGAUUCACUGGGUUUAAAGGGUGCGU
rnacentral:rRNA from 1 species